AUGCUCGUUUGGCAGCAUGUAUACUAAAAUUGGAAUGAUACAGAGAAGAUUAGCAUGCUCUUUGCACAAGGAUGACUUGCAAAUUCGUGAAAUGUUCUGUAUUUUU